rnacentral:rRNA from 1 species
GACAGAGGCCCCGAGCGUUUAGGCGGAAUCACUGGGCUUAAAGCGUGUGUAGGCGGAUCGUUAAGUGUCUUGUGAAAUCCCACGGCUCACCCGUGGAACUGCUGGGCAUACUGGCGAUCUUGGGCCAUUCAGGGGCGACUGGAACAAGCGGUGGAGCGGUGAAAUGCGUAGAUAUCGCUUGGAACGCCGAAGGUGAAAACAGGUCGCUGGGGAUGUGCCGACGCUGAGACACGAAAGCCAGGGGAGCAAACGGG